CAAAAUAAGCUUAAAUUGAGUUAAAAUAAAUAUGAAAACAAACAUUUUACACUCUGUAUCUUUGAUUUUUCAGGUUUUUAUUCAAAACACACUGUGGAAGUUAGCAUUUACAUGUAAGUGAACCGUUAAAAAAAUGUAAACAAUGAGUCAUUCACCCCAGUCUGUGCAUGUUCUUAUUUUGUUUCCAUUUCGGGGUAUUUUAAUUGGUUAUUAUUGAAAUCGAACACAGAGAAGGCACAGUUCUUUCUUUAUUCAGACAAAAAUAAGUGAAUAAUAUUGUUUGUACUUGUUUGAGCUUGUACAAAUCAAAUUUUGACUUGUAAUAAAAUGGAUGGUGAAGGGUGGACAUUCACAUCCAAGGUAAAAAACUUUUAGCCAAUGGAUUUCUGGGCUCCUGAAAAACACUGAGACAAAAUGGCCGACAUGGAGUCGUGGUGCGCCAGAAUUAAAUGGGCGAUUGCAAAAAAGAGCAGAUUUCAGCCUUCAAAAGGAUGCCGGCUUUGGCGGGGAUGCAUAAAAAAAUCCUAUGGCAUCAUUUCAAUGAAAAUGCCAGGCUCGAACAAACGCACUCUGAAGUCUGUGCACAGGGCGGCUUACAUGGCACACACCGGAAAUGUAAAUUUGCCACGGGAGUGGGAUGUAAGUCACCUGUGCCAGAAUUCAUUGUGCGUUUGUUUCGAGCAUUUGUCCCUUGAACCUAGGGCUGUAAAUAAUAGCAGAAAAGUCUGCAAACGACUCAAGCAGUGCCAAGGGCACGAUGGGUACCGGGAGUGCCUGCUUUAAGGUAUCGUAAUGAACAAUAAAUUUGUCAGUUACAUUCCAAAAACAUAAUUUAAAAACGUUUGCAGUAAUUGUGUUCAGAUUGGAUGAUGUGGCAGACAUUUUUCAAACCAUCGUCUGGCUUAGGAUCCAGUUGGCCACGUUUAUACAGUGGCCGUGUGGCAUAAUACAGCUGGAAUCUUUGAGAACGCAAUUGUGCUCUGCGUGUUUUGUACUCCUGACCUUUAGCACGUUUAACAUACUGUUUUUGUUUCUUAUCCAUUUCAGCAAGGGCUUUUGCAGCUGGGGAGCCUGCAGUUACUGGGCAACCAGCAGCUGCGCACUUUUUGACUAUUGAAUUGGCGUGUCUGUUAUUCACCAAGUGCACUGCGCUAUGGUCUCGACAAGAACCAUUUCUUGAGAAGGUUAGUGUGGCCUUAGGGUUGGUUACUGCAAAGGCAUGGUUCAUUGAUUCUGCUUUUUGAGUACUGGUGCCAUAUUUAGUUUUUUCAAGGGCUUCUUGGCCAAGUCGUUUGCCUAGGAGUUUGAUGAGAGUCUGUUCAUCACAAGUUGCUAAUUUCAGUUUGCCACGGGCAUCGACUGGCAGGCUACUUAUCGAGGGAACAGUUGUGUCCAUUGCAGACAACAGCCGCCUAGCCCCAGCAGCUGCAAUGCCGGUGUUGUAAAGACCAACCUGGAACGCCAUGUUGGGAGUGGCAGUCCGUCGUCCUCUCCCCGUCUGUGGAAUUUCGGUGAACAGUUUUGUCUUGUCAGUGCAGAACCCACACUUUUGGCAGGACAGUACCUCGGACACAGCCAAACCUCGUCGCUCCUCAGCAUCUGGCAUCAAUGUGGGCCGGCCGCUGCAAUCAGGAUGUGUGCGUUGGUGAUCUAGGAUAGCCUGCACUCCCAAGUCGACUGCAGAAUUGAUGUCGACGAACCGGUAGGCUGCUCGCUUCCCUCCAUCUGACUGAUCAGCUGGGCUCUGGUGCUGGAGUUCUCUUCUACAGAGGGGCUGUGGUACUGCUUCCUUCUUGAGUUGGAGUUUGUCAAGGGGAGUACUUUCAGCAGCGUUUGGUCGAAGCAGCAUGACUUUCCUUGUCGGCACUGCAUUGGGCGUGGUACAGAUGAACCCCCGCUCAUCUCUUUCAACAGCAAGUUGCAUCUGCUGUUGUGUUGGCCUUGUGUACACUGUUGGUGAGUUCAUCUGAAAAUGACUGAUUGGGGAUUUACACUUUGCAGGGAAUAGUUUAUGGCCAUUCUGGAACCAGCUUUUCUUCCUUUUGUACACUGCUCGUCCCAAUCGACCCAUACUGAAACUGCUGCAGAAAUAGCUGGUUUUGCAAAAUUGAGAUUGUUUUUCCCCUGUGUGAGCAUGUGACAGAAUGCAUGUGGUCACACUAACUCUCAAUGCCAGAGUGAUGACUAUACAGCACAAGUUUGGUUAAUAAUUCAGAAGCCAGUCUGUACAGAGAGUUUAUUUCUGUUGUUAUUUUAUGGGGGGGG